GUAGGGAAUAUUGGGCAAUGGAUGCAAGUCUGACCCAGCCAUGCCGCGUGGAGGAAGAAGGUCCUCUGGAUUGUAAACUCCUUUUUUGGGGGAAGAAUAGUUCUCUUGCGAGGGAAUGUGACGGUACCCUAAGAAUAAGCCACGGCUAACUACGUGCCAGCAGCCGCGGUAAUACGUAGGUGGCAAGCGUUGUCCGGAUUUAUUGGGUUUAAAGGGUGCGUAGGUGUUUUGAUAAGUGAGUGGUGAAAGCUGGUUGCUCGACAAUCAAGUUGCCAUUGAUACUGUCGGACGUGAGAGAAGUGGAGGUUCAUGGAAUGGAUGGUGUAGCGGUGAAAUGCAUAGAUAUCAUCCAGAACGUGGAUUGCGAAGGCAGUGGGCUGUACUUUAUCUGACACUGAGGCACGAAAGUGUGGGGAUCAAACAGGAUUAGAUACCCUGGUAGUCC
rnacentral:rRNA from 1 species